CUGUCGAUGGCGAUCAACAGCUCUCGGCUCGCCGCCGGCGAACCCUACCGGCCCUAUACACGAGGUGGAGAAAGGGCCACGCAUCUCGUUCGUGUCCUACCGAAACGACAAGUUUUUCCGGCCGGCUCGCCGAAAUGACAAGUCCCUGGUUAGCGCAGGUCAAGUGGUCCUUGUCGGCAAAGAUCGGCGAUAGCAAGAUCGAAAACCUCACCGAUCGCUUGGUAUAUUCGUACCCUACGUACAGCGCUGGAACGUACAUCUGCGCUUUCUGGGAUGAACGCCGGAAGGAGUGGUCCACUGCAGGCAUCACGACCAAUCAGUCCGGAAAUGUCACCCUGUGCAGCUCGACUCACAUGACUGUGUUCUCUCUUUUGUUGGAUCCUAUGCCGGGGAUGGCCGUGGCGCCGCACCACUACCGCGUUCUCUCGAUCAUAUCCUACAUUGGGUGCAUCAUGUCCGUUGUGGGCCUGUUCUUCACCAUACUGACGUACGCUCUUUUCAGGUGCCUCAACAAGGAUCGCUCAGGCAAGAUCCUUCUCAACCUGUGCUCGGCCAUGCUGUUAUUAAACGUGGCCUUCCUGCUGGGUUCGCUGCACGAGCGCUUUCCCAAGCUGGAGCUGUGCUUGGGCACGGCCGUGGCGACGCACUACUUCCUGCUUGCCUGUCUCGCCUGGAUGGGCGUCGAGGCUGCUAACAUGUACCAGAUGCUGGUGCACGUGUUUGCCACGUCCGAGACAUGCUUCAUGCUCAAGCGUGUUCUCAUAGCAUGGGGCAUUCCUGCUGUAAUCGUUGGAACGUGCCUUUCGAUAGACCUGGAGCCCUACAGAAGUCACGACGACUACUGCGUGAUAUCGUCAAGAAACCAAUGGAUCUACUACUUCGCAUUCUUGGGCAUUUCUUCGUGUAUUCUAUUCGUUAACUUGAUCGUCUUCAUUAUGGUGACGAAAGUGCUCUUCAAGCCGCGAAUGGCGGGAGCUGCCGCGAAGUCCGCCAACCACAACCCUGCUUCCGGUUCAAGUUCCGGCGUUCCCAACCCUCUCCCCAUCACAGCGGCUCAAGUUCGCGGCGCCUUCACAGUCAUGACCCUGCUCGGGGUCACGUGGAUAUUCGGCGUGUUCGCCGUGGGCGAAGCGAGGACUGUGUUCCAGUACGUCUUCUGCGUUUGCAACUCGAUGCAGGGAUUUCUCAUCUUCGUCGUGCGAGUGCUUCAGUACCCGGAGGCCCGGGCAGCCUGGGCCCAGCUCGCCACAACUGGUACGUUCAAGAAGAACCGCGGAGGUGCAGUGCCCGCGGGGUCCUGGUGCACCAACUCGAACACCAAGCGUAACAGCCACUCGUCCAUGGUGCGGGUCACGUCGGCCAGCACUGACAGCACAAGCACUGUCGUCUUCAACAGCAACAUCUGGACCAAGGGAGGAAACGGUGGCCCCGCUGCUUCGAAGAAUUCAGCCAACAGGCUACCCCGCUUUCUCCAGCGUCGGUAGCCUGCUGAAGAACUGCAACCUGCAGAAGGACGACAAGAUGACCAACGCCGGAACGCUGUCUAGGAAGCAGAAGACCAAGGCGAUCACCGAAGAGCCGCAUGCAAAGGAAACCACAAAGAAUUCUAUUCCGGUGACGAGCAAGUCACAGCUGUAGUCCCAAGCCUCUACGCUGGCCAGGAGCAGCACAUUAUCAAGAGCAGCAGCCUGAACGCGUCGGACCCGCAUAACUACAUCGACGAAGGCUCACGAAGCACAGCUACUACGCUGACUUUCGCGACUAACCAAAAGACACACAUUCUCUUCGCCUACGCCGGCGGCGAGACGACUCCCAUACGGAUCAACGGCAUUGUGCCAUCACCAGAAGACAAGCCAAGGAUAGAGUCCUUCAGCACGUUCCAGAGGUCCUCGCCCGUCCCCAGUGCGCCCCAAAUUCCAGACCUUCCCCAAGCAAGGACCGGUCCCGUAGCAACCGCGGAAUCAAUCAGCGUUUCUACUUCGGAGAGUGAACCGAUUCGGAACUCGCUGAAAACGACAUGUGAGCAAACAUCGUUCCUGGUUACAGAUGGAGCAGUCACGACGUUCGUGUCUUGAUGAACUAGCCGCGACAAUCACACGUUGCGGUGUGGUGGCAUCUAUUGUGAACGUCAGUCGGUGACAGACUGCCUUCUAGCCUCAACCAGAACACUUCUAGGCACCGAGCUGCUUGCCCUAGAAAUGAAUUGCGUCCGCAGCCUUUGCAACAACUGGGUCUACUGCAAAGUGCAGUGUCCUCGACCUAAACACUCACUUUUUCAAGUUCGAGUGCUGCAGCAUGGAGUAUUCGAAGACACAGCACGGCCUUCAUGGAAAAAAAGGUCUUCACGUGUUUAUGUUUGCGCAUGAAGGAUAGUAACAAGAACCAACACCAUUCCUUCGGCUCAGAAUGGCCGGGUGCAGCUACAUCAAUUCGAAGUUGGUGUGCCUGACGAGCUGUGGUCUUCCUAAGAACAGUGAUCUCGAUGUCUUGUGAUUGAGACUGCGAUGGUAACUUGUUACUUGCCGUUGUUUCUUUUACACCAUCCUCUUUCAUGUUCAGCCCUGCACUGGCCAAGGACAGUGACGUGUGUGUCGGAAGUGUGAACUUCACAAACUCUUGUAGAUGCCGUAGCCUGCUACAGACUGUGCUAGUCCUUUAAAUAUUUUACUGAGAUUUCUCUUUUCGUGCGCCUUACAUGUGAGACAAAUCAAAACAGAUCGUGGGCCAGGGGUGUAGGCGGCCAGAUACGUUCCUUUCUGCCUUUUCCAUCAGCGAAUUCUUCAAUCGUGUUCGCUAUGGGGUGAGCCAACAAGACGUUGUGAACUUUUGUUACUGUGACAAUUACCUUUCUGCCUAUAUACUGUGAAGCAUACAUCCCUUUUCAAAGGUAUUCAGUACUGCUUCUUAAUUGGCGAUACAUGUUUCAUAUAACACAAAAUAUUUUGCAUGGAGAUGUUCAUCUCAAUUUACAAGUUCUACUGCGUGGCCCACUAUGUCCUUCUACGCAUGUACCAUGUGUACCGGGUAACGUUAGCCAAGCUAUUCACCGAAAAAAAAAACGAUUUUAAAAUACUGUACAAGGUACAAUUAAAAGACCUAUGGAAAUCGGCCGUCGGCGUUCUGAUAACCGGACAAAGUAGGUAUUAAAAUUAGAUCUUGCGCUGUGUUUCUUUUUUUUUGAAUAAUUGCUUUCGAUGAGCAGCUGCGCUAACAUUAGCUGGUACAUCCUAUAUGUCACUGUAAACAUACAAAAACUGAGGGCAGUUGUUAGAGGGACAUUAAACUACAUUUCUCUAUGAAACAUCUUAAUGCUACAAUUUCUGUCAACACUGCCCGUAUUGUUGCAGCAAAAGCCACUGGUGUUUAAAGUUUUGUAAGUAAAAUGAACUUUACCUCUCACAACUGUGAAAUCUUCUUUUACUUUGUCAGCAAUUCCCUUCAAUGUCUUCGCAGGCAAUAGUAGGCUCUGGAGGUAGUUUUUAUUGUAUAAGAAAGUUGCCAAGACAUUGUUCUUUUUCAAAUUCGAAAGUUUUCCAUGCAGCAUAAAACAUUUGAUGCACGCAAGUCAAAUCCACAGGUGUCCGUGCUUUUCGUCCACGAAGUUCAGUAGUGAUCAAUGCUGCAGACGGUAUAUUUACUAGUCCCUGCAAUGUCCUAAUGUGCAACAUGGCAACUUGUGCUGCCAGUUUCACAACUUUACUGUCCUCAAAGCAGUAAAAUGCAAACGAUUUACUUGCAAUAACAUGAAAUUUUCUAAUCUGCCUUUUGCCGACAAAUUACGCCUUGCAAGACGUUAUAAAUAUGCGCGAGUAUAGGACGUCGUCGGCAGCAAACGCCAGCUUGUUGAUAAAGGUGAGGUUGUGCCCCGAGCAACGCAAAGUUUGAAGGAGGGAAACUGUGUCAGAUGAAAGCACAAAGUCUAGCUUCUGUCUCGAGCUUCCGCAUAUUGGCGCUUGUGACAAC